rnacentral:tRNA from 1 species
GCUUUCGUGGUGUAACGGUAGCACACUUGGCGCGUAUUUGAGAGGCCCAGGUUCGAAUCUCGGCGAGCGCA